UGGGCACUGGGAGAGGCAGGGAGCCUGCAUUUAGACUUCCUCUCAGCUUGCAGGAUGUACCACAUGUUAAGAGGGUCUUAGGCUACCUGUAUACAAGUAAUUUUCAAUGCUUUUCAUCUAAGUCUAAAAGCUGACCCAUCCUUUAAAAGUAUGUGCUCAGUAAGUCACCAGAAAGUGGCAUGGAGCAGAGGAUUGUUUAAUUAGGGGUGCUGAGUCACUUUGGGGACCUGGAGGCUCUGUCUUUGACUAGGCAAAGUGUUUGCUCCAAGCCUUUCCUCUGCCCAAAUCUGUGAAGAUCUAGUUGCACCUUGGAACUUUCAGCACCAAGGCGCCAAGUGAACUGCCAUGAACAACAAGAUAUGCACAACACCCACCAGGCAUGCAUGUGCUCUCUCUGAGCACUGGUGCAGAUUUCCCUUGUCCUUAAGCAUGACCUUCAUUCUCAAGGCUCCCUUAUCUUCAGCCAUGCCCGUGUCCUCAAGUAUUCCUCUUCAUCUCAAAUGCCUGCUGUGCUGCUCACUAUCACAGCUGCAUUCCAGAAUCAAAAACAAAAACCAAUCAAAAAGGAGCCAUCGGAAGACCCACCCAGGGCAAAUGCAGACUGUCUUCAUGCGGAGAUAUCACCUGCAGGUGCAUGGGUUGCCCUUGGAUACUGCUGUAACAAGAUUUCUUUUCUCCAAAGACAGAAAGGCUGGAUUGUGGAUGUGAUCUCUUCCUCCCAAAUAUGCUCCUGGCAUUGAGCCAUGAAGUCCUCAUUGGAGCCAGACCAGACCAAUUGGGUUGCCUGACAUUGAACUUUCAAUCUCCAAAACGUUGUGCUAAAUAAAUCUCUUUUCUUCAUAAGUAACCUGCCUCAGGUAUUUCAGGAUAGCAAUGAAAACAGACAAAUGCACUGCAUGUCUUGAAAUCCUCACCUGAGAGGGAGCAAAUACACAGCACAUCGCACACCUCCCCAGCAAACCUGCUGGUGCUCUCCUCCAUCCUGUCACAUGUGCACACAGGCCUGCAGACACAAGUUCAUGUCAGGGUUCAUUUCUAAACGCCAGCCUCCCCUGGGGCUGCUAUUCCUGCCAGCACACUGCACAGAGCUCCCUGCC
rnacentral:lncRNA from 1 species